rnacentral:lncRNA from 1 species
UUGACUUGUGAGAGAGAGAUUGUCUUGCACAUGUUGGGGUUGAUAAGAGAAGACAGUCAGACAGCCAUUCAAAGAUCAUGAGUGACAGAAGCAUGGAGGGACAGGAACCAUGUGUCCCACAUACAUGGAAAAGUCUGCACCCACUUUCAGUGUUUGGUUUUCACUGCUACAGUCUCUGCUGUUUUCAAGUUCUUAUGAACUUGUGAUGCUAUUGUGGCAGGCGGCAAAACAAAUGGAGAUUCCUGGGAACUGCACAGUUCAGCACACUUAAAGGGAGAAAAGGGAGACAGAGGUGCUCCAGGACCACCAGGUCCACCUCUGCCUCCAUCAUAUUUCAGCCAUUUUAUUAAUAGCAUAAAGGGUGAAAAAGGAGACAAUGGAGUCACCGGUGUAAAAGGAGAAAAAGGAGAACCAAAUGGAGGGUUUUUUCUGACAGGACCUCCUGGACCACCUGGAAGACCAGGAUUAAUUGGACCAAAAGGGGACUCAGUUGUUGGGCCCAGAGGACCUCCAGGAUUACCUGGACUACCUGGCUUACCAGGUUAUGGAAAAAUUGGACCUCCUGGCCCACCUGGACCACCUGGACCACCAGGCCCCCCUGCAAUAUAUGGCUCAGGUGAGCUUUUCAGUGCAUAUGCAAGUGUACAGCUACAUGCCCACAACCCACACAUGACCAAUUUUUCAUACCUGCCCACCCUCUCUGCA